GGUCGGUUAAACUCGAGGUUGACUUUGAUGGUGAUUGUGUACAUGUAUAGAUUCUUACAACUUAGAGUUGCAUAAGGAAGGUGAGGGUCGUGUUUGGGGUGGUUCGAGUGCAUUUGGACUCAUAUUUCUUUUAUUCCUUUAAACCGAUUUCUGAGCCAAAAGUGGUUCCACAAGCAAACAGCAACAAAAGGCACUUACUUAAGUCAUUAAUAAGUUACUGUAAAAUUUUGGGAGCCAUUGGAUUACCACAAAAAGAUUUAAACGUAUUUUACCACCAAGGGUAGCAUGCACUUAACUAUUUGUAUCUCAAAACCUA
rnacentral:lncRNA from 1 species